GAUAAGAACGUAGCGAAAUGCGAUACGUAAUGUGAAUUGCAGAAUUCAGUGAAUCAUCGAGUCUUUGAACGCACAUUGCGCCCCCUGGUAUUCCGGGGGGCAUGCCUGUCCGAGCGUCAUUGCUGCCCUCAAGCACGGCUUGUGUGUUGGGCCUCUGUCCUCCUCCCGGGGGACGGGCCCGAAAGGCAGCGGCGGCACCGCGUCCGGUCCUCGAGCGUAUGGGGCUUCGUCACCCGCUCUUGUAGGCCCGGCCGGCGCUUGCCGACACAUCAAUCUUUUUUCCAGGUUGACCUCGGAUCAGGUAGGGAUACCCGCUGAACUUAAGCAUAUCAAUAAGCGGAGGA
rnacentral:misc_RNA from 1 species